rnacentral:rRNA from 1 species
UAACGUUACCAAACUGUUGCCUCGGCGGGAUCUUCUGCCCCGGGUGCGUCGCAGCCCCGGACCAAGGCGCCCGCCGGAGGAAUCAACCAAAACUCUUAUUGUAUACCCCCUCGCGGGUUUUUUUUAUGAUCUGAGCCUUCUCGGCGCCUCUCGUAGGCGUUUCGAAAAUGAAUCAAAACUUUCAACAACGGAUCUCUUGGUUCUGGCAUCGAUGAAGAACGCAGCGAAAUGCGAUAAGUAAUGUGAAUUGCAGAAUUCAGUGAAUCAUCGAAUCUUUGAACGCACAUUGCGCCCGCCAGUAUUCUGGCGGGCAUGCCUGUCCGAGCGUCAUUUCAACCCUCGAACCCCUCCGGGGGGUCGGCGUUGGGGAUCGGCCUUCCUUCACGGGGGCCGUCUCCGAAAUACAGUGGCGGUCUCGCCGCAGCCUCUCCUGCGCAGUAGUUUGCACACUCGCAUCGGGAGCGCGGCGCGUCCACAGCCGUUAAACACCCAACUUUCUGAAAUGUUGACCUUGGAUCAGGUAGGAAUACCCGCUGAACUU